rnacentral:rRNA from 1 species
AGUGAACGCUGGCGGUAGGCCUAACACAUGCAAGUCGAACGGCAGCACAGUAAGAGCUUGCUCUUACGGGUGGCGAGUGGCGGACGGGUGAGGAAUACAUCGGAAUCCACUUUUUCGGGGGGGAUAACGUAGGGAAACUUACGCUAAUACCGCAUACGACGUACGGGUGAAAGCAGGGGAUCUUCGGACCUUGUGGGAGUGAAUGAGCCAAUGACGGAUUAGAUCGUUGGCGGGGUAAAGGCGCACGAAGGCGACGAUCCGUAGCUGGUCUGAGAGGAUGAUCAGCCACACUGGAACUGAGACACGGUACAGACUCCUACGGGAGGACGCAGUGGGGAAUAUUGGACAAUGGGGGCAAGCCUGAUCCAGCCAUACCGCGUGGGUGAAGAAGGCCUUCGGGUUGUAAAGCCCUUUUGUUGGGAAAGAAAAGCAGCAGGUUAAUACCCCGCUGUUCUGACGGUACCCAAAGAAUAAGCACCGGCUAACUUCGUG